CAUUAAAUCUUUUUAUUUUUCUUUUUUUCUCUUUAAUACUUUAUAGCAUUAUUUGUUGUUCUGCCCCUAUCCUCUUUUUGUUAAAUUAAUCCUUGAUGAUCCUCACUUGAAACUCUUUCUUUAAAUCCAUUAAAUCUUUUUAUUUUUCUUUUUUUCUCUUUAAUACUUUAUAGCAUUAUUUGUUGUUCUGCCCCUAUCCUCUUUUUGUUAAAUUAAUCCUUGAUGAUCCUCACUUGAAACUCGUUCUUUAAAUCCAUUAUAUCUUUUUAUUUUUCUUUUUUUCUUUUUGAUACUUUAGAGCAUUAUUUGGUGUUCUGCCCCUGUCCUCUUUUCGUUAAAUUAAUCCUUGAUGAUCGUCACUUGAAACUCUUUCUUUAAAUCCAUUAAAUCUUUUUAUUUUUCUUUUUUUCUCUUUAAUACUUUAGAGCAUUAUUUGUUGUGCUGCCCCUGUCCUCUUUUCGUCAAAUUAAUCCUUGAUAAGCCUCACUUGAAACUCCUUCUUUAAAUCCAUCAAAUCUUUUUAUUUUUCUUUUUUCUCUUUAAUAUUUUAGAGCAUUAUUUGUUGUGCUGCCCCUGUCCUCUUUUCGUUAAAUAAAUCCUUCGUUAAAUCUUUUUUUUUUCUUUUUUUCUCUUUGAAACUUUAGAGCAUUAUUUGUUGUGCCGCCCCUGUCCUCUUUUCGUUAAAUUAAUCCUUGAUAAUCCUUACUUGAAAGUCCUACUUUUAAUCCAUUAAAUCUUUUUAUUUUUCUUUUUUUCUCUUUGAUACUUUAGAGCAUUAUUUGUUCUGCUGCCCCUGUCCUCUAUUCGUCAAAUUAAUCCUUGAUUAUCUUCGUUUGAAACUCCUUCUUUAAAUCCAUUAAAUCUUUUUAUUUUUCCUUUUUUCUCUUUAAUACUUUAGAGCAUUAUUUGUUGUUCUCCCCCUGUCCUCUUUUCGUUGAAUUAAUCCUUGAUUAUUUUCUCUUGAAACUCCUUAUCAAAUCUUGAAAAUCAGUAUAAGAUUUUCGGUCUUAGUAAAGAUUUGAAAGAGACCCAGCUACCGCAUACAUUGAAAGAAAUUUCAAAAGGCAGAUGUCUGACAACAGCAUAUCUUGCCUUGAGGUUGAGAAUUGAAACUGACAAAAAGAUAUGUCAAAAUUGAAAUACGUUAAAAAUCUUUCUAAUUUGUAGCGAUCGAUUGCAUUUAACGAUGGCAUUAGACAAUAUCAUUAAAGUUCAAGCUUGUGGGUCAAAAAGUUUUUCAUUCAAAGAAACUGCGUACUUUUUGACCUACUAAACAGGCAAAACGUGCAAAUAUCUCAACAGUCAUUUUACCAGAAGGCAACAGAAAAGACUAUGACGACUUGCAAAAUUUCAUAAAACAAAAUUUAGAAGUAAAUUUUGUUAGUAACUACGAUAAGGUAUACGAAAUAGUACUGAAUUAUUCGGAAAGCAAUGCAGAUCAAGACAACAGCUCGUAGAAUUAUAUAUAUUAUUAUUAGCUAUUUACUUCCGAUUUAAUUCUAUAAAACAUUAAAGUUGGGUAUUUUACAAUUUUAAAUGUAAAUCUCAAAACCUGCCUAUAACCUUCACCGAGUAUAUUUAGUAUCAGCUUUAGAUAAUACCCUUGGAGAAGUAUGUAAUUAAUCAAGAAAAUAAGAUUUGUAGGCAAAAUAAACGGAAAAGAAGCCCAGUGUUUCUAAAUUAUCGAUAAGCCGAACGUUAUAUUUUCCAGAUUUUUUCUAGAUCCGGGAAACCAGUUUCCUUUUUCAAAUGCCAAAAAUUUUCAAUUCUCUAAAUAACAAGAUGAAUGCCCCUUGCAACACCCGGCGAUGCGAUAACGUUUUCAUCGUUCAAUGGGCUAGUCUUCCCUUUGUUCUUUCACUAGAUCAUUUUGCUUGAAGGAAAACCAAGGAUUGAGUUGGGGCUACUCCAUAGAAAAUAAAAACUACAAUGAUUAAACAAGUGUGGAUUAUACACAGGUUUUUAUGGUCCUCGUAAUGAUUUACAAGAAUCACAUCCCGCAGGUAGACUUUUUAUCCAUUAAAUAGAUGGUAUACAGUUAAUCCGUACUUUAUAUAUGUAUAAAUUUCAUCUGUAUUAGCGAAUGCGAGAGAAAAAUAUGAGUCUGACGAUCGAGGUCUGAAGUCAUCCUUGAGUGAUUCCUUCGCAACUUUUAUGCCUUGGCUACUUUUGAUAUCUCUUUUUAUCAAAAUUUCUUUCCCUGGCUUUUUCUAACAAAUUUUAGAUAGUUACAGCUACAUCAAAUUUAUUCUCUGAUUUUCCAUAUGGGCCAGUUGUUUGAAAACAGUAAAGAUAUCUUCUUUCGUCAACACGUAUCGACGAAGGAGCUUUACUACCCAGAAUGCUAUUCGCCUUUCGUGUGAUUAAAAACAUGGCUUCGAAGAAAGUUGUUUUCGUCAUAAGCGGCUCACGUGUUAUAGUUAUUCCAAGAAAAUUGAUAUUUACUAUGCGACAAGAUGUUAGAUAAAUAUAUUGUAAUGUUGAACAGUUAAAGGCCGAAGAGUCAUAGAUAUUUGCAUCCUGCUUUGAUUUCUGUGGUGUUUUGUCUUGAUGGGAAAACUUUGGAACCAAAAGCCAGGGCUGACAAAUUCCUCUUCAAAGCUCCAUCAAUAUAGCCAGUUGAUGCUUUGAACACCUAGAAAUUGGAUAUGAAUGGGAUCUGGACUAAAACCUUCAUAAAAACUUGUAUGACUUUUGCAGGUAUGUCGGUUCCCUUUCCUUCAAAUUCCAAACUUACAAACUUAAAUUGCAUGGAUCCUUGUGCUUUUAUUCUGAAGUGCAGACCUUUAAUUCUGAAGUGUCAACCUUAUACUUUCUAAGGUAAAUUUUUUUUUUCAAAUUACCAUUAUAUUUCAAAAUGUAUUUUUUCCUUGAGAAUUAAAUUCUAUUCAUGACUUACUAUACGCUACUUUUGAUGAAAAGUUUCUCACUGUUGUUAGCUUUGUAAAAAUAAUUCUCUAAAAACCUACUAUAUUUUUGUUUCCUUCCGCAUGAAUUUUUUUUUCUAACUUACUGCUGGUAGCUCUUUUGAAAAGCUUCUCUAAAAACCACUUUUAUUUUUAUUUCCUUGCGUAUUAACUUUCGUUUAUCACUUACUAUAACUUACUCUGCUUUUGAGUUUCUCAAAAAGCCAACAUGUCAAUUUUUAUUGCCAAGUUCCUGUAGAGAGCUUUGCGUUAGUGUUUCCCUAAAAGCCUUUGUUGUUUUUGUUUUAUUGCCUACCAAUUUUUCAAGCUACGUUCCUGUACGGAGCUAUGCUUUAGAGUUUCUCUAAAAUCCUUCGUUCUCUUUUUUUGACUGUAUGUCAAUUUUUAUUACUAUGUUCCUGUAGGGAGCUUUGCUUUAAAGUUUCCCUAAGAUCCUUCGUUGUUUUUAUUUUAAGCCUGUAAAUUAUUAUUGCUACGUUGCUGUAGGAAGCUUUCUUUUAGAGGUUCUCUAAAAUCCUUCGUUGUUCUUUUAUUUCCUGUCAAUUUUAUUGCUACGUUCCUGUAGGGAGCUUUACGUUAGAGUUUCUCAAAAAUCCUUCGUUCUCUUUAUUUUACUGCCUGACAAUUUUUCAUGCU